GCGCGAGACCCUUGCGUCUUCCGGAAGCGGAGCCCUGGACCCGCAACGGCUGGGUGUGCGACCACGGUGGUGGCUGGCGCGCCUGAGAAGACAAGAACUAAAGGGGACCCGGGCCUGCCUCCCGCGCCGGGCUAGAACACCAUGGACGAAGCAGGCAGCUGUGCGAGCGGCGGAGGGUUCCGCCCGGGCGUGGAUAGCCUGGACGAGCCCCCCAACAGCCGCAUCUUCCUGGUGAUCAGCAAGUACACGCCCGAGUCGGUGCUGAGGGAGCGCUUCUCGCCCUUCGGCGAGAUCCAGGACAUCUGGGUGGUGCGGGACAAGCACACCAAGGAGUCCAAGGGCAUCGCCUUCGUCAAGUUUGCCCGUAGCUCGCAGGCCUGCAGGGCCAUGGAGGAGAUGCACGGCCAGUGCCUCAGCCCCAACGACACCAAGCCCAUCAAGGUGCAGGUUUUCAUUGCUCAGUCCAGAUCAUCUGGAAGUCACCGAGAUGUUGAAGAUGAAGAACUUACAAGAAUAUUUGUCAUGAUACCAAAGUCCUACACAGAAGAAGAUUUGCGGGAAAAAUUUAAGGUGUAUGGAGAUAUCGAAUACUGCAGCAUUAUUAAGAAUAAAGUAACUGGAGAAAGUAAAGGUUUGGGCUAUGUUCGAUACUUAAAACCAUCACAAGCUGCCCAAGCAAUAGAAAACUGUGAUCGAAGUUUUAGGGCAAUCUUGGCUGAACCUAAAAAUAAAGCAUCUGAAUCCUCAGAACAAGACUAUUAUAACAUGAGGCAGGAGACAUUGGGACAUGAACCUAGAGUAAAUAUGUUUCCAUUCGAACAACAAUCUGAAUUUUCAAGUUUUGACAAGAAUGACAACAGAGGCCAAGAAGCUAUCUCCAAACGCCUGUCAGUUGUAUCAAGAGUUCCUUUCACUGAAGAGCAGCUUUUCAGUAUUUUUGAUAUAGUACCAGGAUUGGAAUACUGUGAAGUUCAACGAGAUCCUUAUUCUAAUUAUGGUCAUGGAGUGGUUCAGUAUUUUAAUGUAGCAUCAGCUAUUUAUGCAAAAUACAAGUUACAUGGAUUUCAGUACCCUCCUGGGAAUCGGAUAGGUGUUUCCUUCAUUGAUGAUGGGAGUAAUGCAACAGAUCUCCUUAGAAAAAUGGCAACGCAGAUGGUAGCAGCACAGCUUGCAUCAAUGGUGUGGAAUAACCCAAAUCAGCAGCAAUUUCUGCAAUUUGGAGGAAAUUCUGGAUCACAGUUGCCUCAAAUCCAGACAGAUGUUGUACUUCCAUCAUGCAAAAAAAAAGCCCCUCCUGAAACUCCUGUGAAAGAAAGACUUUUUAUCGUGUUUAAUCCUCAUCCUUUACCUUUAGAUGUAUUAGAGGAUAUUUUCUGUCGUUUUGGUAACCUGAUCGAAGUUUACCUUGUGUCAGGAAAAAACGUGGGGUAUGCCAAGUAUGCAGAUAGAAUAAGCGCCAAUGAUGCCAUUACUACUUUACAUGGAAAGAUCCUUAAUGGAGUCAGACUUAAAGUUAUGUUGGCAGAUUCCCCAAGGGAAGAAUCUAACAAACGACAGAGAACUUACUGAUUCUUGAGCAUUUUCCCUCCAGAAAUUCAGUACCUGUUUACAUCAUCCUUCUGAAACAAAGACUAAAUAAUGACAUAAUCCUCAGCUGACUGACUGAAAAUGUGACUGGACGCACUCCCUGUGGACAGUUGACAGCUUUUUUUUUUCAUAUACCUGGUAGUCCGUGCACAACAUUGUUUUGUCUGGGGAGCACGAAUUGUUGACAUGAAUUUUUGAAUCCACACGUCAGUGCUAAAACUAAUAUAAUAGUUGUUUCUUAGAGCAAUAUGUUGUUAUGUGUAGCAGAAAUAAAGUUUUCUUUGCUUGACUAAAUCAUGCCUUAUUUAUGUGAAAGAAGAGAAUAAAAAAUACAACAGUGUUUAGAAUUUUACUAAAUGACAUAUUUCAUUGAUUUUGAGAUGCACAUUUUUUCACAUUUUUACACUUCUCAAAUUGGAAACCUCUUAAUACCGAUUAUGUGCCAUACUAUAGUUGACAACCUGUUUUUAUUUCUUAACAGAACGCAAAAUAAAAGUGCUUCCUUCAGUCAGUUGCAUCUUAGAUUCAAUAAAAUAUGGUAAUUGCUCAACCUACACAUCCAGAUUGGCUACUUACACUUUAAGUCAAGAGCCAAAAUACAUUAUUAGAAAUAUUUUAGACUAUAUUUUAUAGUUACACCAAAAUUUGUUGGUAAUUUUGUAAAGAUCUUUUAAGAUUAUAGAGCAACGGUGAUUAAAAAAAGUUUUAAGUUGUUGAUAAGUUUAAUUAAAUAUCAGUGGCCUUGCGGGAGGGUGGACAUUUUCCCUUUAUAAAUACAAGAUAUAAUGGUCACUGCAAAAAUAUGACAUGUAAUUUCAGAACAGAUUAUGAUAGAAUAGUCAUUUCAAAAAAAGAUUAAAGAUUAAGACCCUACUAUGCUUGUAUUUUGAAAAUCCAAGGAAAAUGUUUAGCUGCUAUUGAGGUGAAUGAUGUGUAUCAAAAAGGUGUAUCUAAAUCAGAAACUCAGCAUCUUAAAGAUAUUAUAAAUGGUAUGCAGUUAUUAAAACCACUGAAGUACCUCCUCAUGCCUUUCACAUUCUGAGUUAAACUAAAAAUAAUAAAAGAUUAAGUUCACUGGGCGUAAUAGAGUAUUGCAUAGUUUGACAUCUCUCCAUUUAAAAGUUGAAAAUUCUUUUUUUGAAUUGGUAAUUUUAGUAAAUUGAGAUAAAACUUCCAAUCUCCUCUUCCCAGGCAGGGCUUACUGAAUGAGAAUGGAAUCUUUGUGAACCAAAGAGCAUAUUUUUAUUUAUUUAUUUUGAGAGAGAGAGAGAGUAUGUGUGAGCACAUGCAGGAGGGACAAAGGGAGAGAGAAUCUUAAGGAGGCUCCACACCCAGCCUGGAGCCCAAUGCGGCGCUCCUAUCUCAGGACUGCAAGAUCAUGACUUAAGCUGAAAUCAAGAGUUAGUCACUUAACCAACUGAGCCACCCAGGCUCCCCAAAGGGCACAUUUUAUAGCAAAUAUUCUCAUUCAAAAGCAAAUAUUCUCAUUCAAAAUGAAAAACCUAAGUAAGGAGAGUUGAUUGAUUAUGAACAAGUAGACUUAUUCAUCCUAAGCUCAUUGACUGCACGCAUAGUUCCAUUUUCAUGGAUUGGAACCAAAUGGUGCCCUACAGGUUAUCAGUCUCUACCACUCAAGUGAUGUUUGAAUAUUCCCAGAAAUAUUCCUGCCAGCUGGUUAAUCUAAACAGUGUAAAAGUAGGAAGGGAGUUCUCUUAAGUCAUACCUGAGUCCAUUGCAUCUUUGGUUAAUCCUCAUAAUUAACAAAAUAUGAUUCCCUACAAUUAAUCACCUAUUAGUCUUUAGGUUUUUCACUGGGUCAAACAGAAGAAGCUGAAUCUUUCAGGUGAUUCAGCUCUUUCAGCUCUCACACCCUCCUGCCCUCCAGAUUUUCUAUUUGCAUUAAGUAAUUCCAACUUGUCCAUGCUGCAUUUAAUGUCAGCCAGUUUCAGCAAACAGUUGUGGUUUCAGUAAAGUGUCUUAUGCAGAUAUAUUUCCUUGAUUCCUUCAUAUUAAUUCUAAAGAGACUUGGAGAAUUGUUCUCUGCCUACGAAACACUGCUUUUACAGUGCAACCGUCUGUUGUGUUUUCCAACUGCAUGUCUCAGUUCUCUUGCAGGUGAGCCCUAAAACUUUAUUUUGAAAAGUCAGAAUGUCACGUUUUUCUUAAGAUGAA